rnacentral:rRNA from 1 species
UACAGAGGGUGCAAGCGUUAAUCGGAAUUACUGGGCGUAAAGCGUGCGUAGGUGGUUUUUUAAGUCAGGUGUGAAAUCCCCGGGCUCAACCUGGGAACUGCAUUUGAUACUGAAAAGCUAGAGUGUGGUAGAGGAUAGUGGAAUUCCCGGUGUAGCGGUGAAAUGCUUAGAUAUCGGGAGGAACACCAGUGGCGAAGGCGGCUAUCUGGACCAACACUGACACUGAGGCACGAAAGCGUGGGUAGCAAACAGG